rnacentral:rRNA from 1 species
CCUACGGGUGGCAGCAGUGGGGAAUAUUGCGCAAUGGGGGCAACCCUGACGCAGCAACGCCGCGUGAUUGAAGAAGGCCUUCGGGUUGUAAAGAUCUUUAAUCGGGGACGAAUUUUGACGGUACCCGACGACUAAGCUCCUGCUAACUCCGUGCCAGCAGCCGCGGUAAUAGGUAGGGCGCAAGCGUUAUCCGGUUGUACUGGGGGUAAAGGGCUUGUAGGCGGGCAUGCAAGCCAGAAGUGAAAUCUGGGGGCUUAACCCCCAAACUGCGUUUGGAACUGCGUGUCUUGAGUGAUGGAGAGGCAGGCGGAAUGCGCAGUGUAGCGGUGAAAUGCGUAGAUAUUGGGAGGAACACCAGUGGCGAAGGCGGCCUGCUGGACAGUAACUGACGCUGAGGCGCGAAAGCGUGGGGAGCAAACAGGAUUAGAUACCCUAGUAGUC